rnacentral:rRNA from 1 species
UACGGAGGGGGCUAGCGUUGUUCGGAAUUACUGGGCGUAAAGCGCACGUAGGCGGAUUUGUUAGUCAGGGGUGAAAUCCCGAGGCUCAACCUCGGAACUGCCUUUGAUACUGCAAAUCUCGAGUCCGGAAGAGGUGAGUGGAAUUCCUAGUGUAGAGGUGAAAUUCGUAGAUAUUAGGAAGAACACCAGUGGCGAAGGCGGCUCACUGGUCCGGUACUGACGCUGAGGUGCGAAAGCGGUGGGAGCAAACAGGG